AAGUCGUAACAAGGUUUCCGUAGGUGAACCUGCGGAAGGAUCAUUAACACGUAUCCACGUAUCUACCUCUUGCGAACUUGUUUUGUUUUGUAGUCGUGCUCAGGUAUUUUAUCAAGGAAGUAGAUGGCCAUGUCAGGAAAAAUUCAUUUUUUUUCUUGUUCUACUUGCCUUCCACCCAAUGUUUUGAGUGCUGGUGUAUUGAGAUCCUGUGAUGCCUUUUGUGGGCGUCCACAGUUUCCUACUAGCAGAACGCUCCUUGGGAUGGGUAUCUGGCGUGACUCGAAUCAUGGUGGUUAUUCACUAUUAACCCCUUUUUUUUUAAAAUUUUUGUCUCAGUGUGAGUGGGUGGUGCCGCUUUGCGGUGCGCCCUCCUCAUCAAAAAAAAAUAACAAAGAUACAACUCUUAGCAACGGAUAUCUAGGUUCUCC
rnacentral:misc_RNA from 1 species